GAGUUUGAUCAUGGCUCAGAACGUACGCUGGCGGCACGCCUAACACAUGCAAGUCGAACGAAGUAGCAAUACUUAGUGGCAGACGGGUGAGUAACAUGUAGGUAUCUGCCCUUUGGCCUGGAAUAACACGAGGAAACUUGUGCUAAUACCGGAUAAGUCUUUACGGAGAAAGCUUUAUGCACCAUUGGAUGAGCCUGCACUUGAUUAGUUUGUUGGUGGGGUAAUGGCCUACCAAGACUGUGAUCAAUAGCUGAUUUGAGAGGAUGAUCAGCCACAUUGGGACUGAGACACGGCCCAAACUCCUACGGGAGGCAGCAGUGGGGAAUCUUGCACAAUGGAGGAAACUCUGAUGCAGCGAUGCCGCGUGAGUGAAGAAGGCCCUUGGGUUGUAAAGCUCUUUCGUCGGGGAAGAAAAUGACUGUACCCGAAUAAGAAGGUCCGGCUAACUUCGUGCCAGCAGCCGCGGUAAUACGAAGGGACCUAGCGUAGUUCGGAAUUACUGGGCUUAAAGAGUUCGUAGGUGGUUGAAAAAGUUAGUGGUGAAAUCCCAGAGCUUAACUCUGGAACUGCCAUUAAAACUUUUCAGCUAGAGUAUGAUAGAGGAAAGCAGAAUUUCUAGUGUAGAGGUGAAAUUCGUAGAUAUUAGAAAGAAUACCAAUUGCGAAGGCAGCUUUCUGGAUCAUUACUGACACUGAGGAACGAAAGCAUGGGUAGCGAAGAGGAUUAGAUACCCUCGUAGUCCAUGCCGUAAACGAUGUGUGUUAGACGUUGGAAAUUUAUUUUCAGUGUCGCAGGGAAACCGAUAAACACACCGCCUGGGGAGUACGACCGCAAGGUUAAAACUCAAAUGAAUUGACGGGGACCCGCACAAGUAGUGGAGCAUGUGGUUUAAUUCGAAGAUACGCGCAGAACCUUACCAACACUUGACAUGUUCGUCGCGACUCUAAGAGAUUAGAGUUUUCGGUUCGGCCGGACGAAACACAGGUGCUGCAUGGCUGUCGUCAGCUCGUGUCGUGAGAUGUUGGGUUAAGUCCCGCAACUAGCGCAACCCUCACUUUUAGUUGCCAUCAUUAAGUUGGGCACUCUGAAAGAACUGCCAGUGAUAAGCUGGAGGAAGGUGGGGAUGACGUCAAGUCCUCAUGGCCCUUACGUGUUGGGCUACACACGUGCUACAAUGGUAUCUACAACAGGAAGCAAGACUGCGAAGUUAAGCAAAUCCCUAAAAGAUACCUCAGUUCGGAUUGCACUCUGCAACUCGAGUGCAUGAAGCUGGAAUUACUAGUAAUCGUGGAUCAGCGUGCCACGGUGAAUGCGUUCCCGGGUCUUGUACACACCGCCCGUCACACCAUGGGAGUUGGCUCUACCUUAAGGCAAGGUUUUAAACCCUUGACCACGGUAUAGUCAGCGACUGGGGUGAAGUCGUAACAAGGUAACC
rnacentral:rRNA from 1 species